AGAGUUUGAUCCUGGCUCAGAGCGAACGCUGGCGGCGUGCUUAACACACGCAAGUCGAACGCGCAGUUUUCUGUAGCAAUACAGAAAAUGGGCGCGUGGCGAACGGGUGCGUAACACGUGGGCAACCUUCCCUCCGGUGGGGGAUACCCUCGCGAAAGCGAGACUAAUACCGCAUAACAUUCCCCUGGUUACGACUGGGGGAUUCAAAGCAGCAAUGCGCCGGAGGAGGGGCCCGCGGCCGAUUAGCUAGUUGGUGAGGUAACGGCUCACCAAGGCUUUGAUCGGUAACCGGUCUGAGAGGACGAUCGGUCACACUGGAACUGAGACACGGUCCAGACUCCUACGGGAGGCAGCAGUGGGGAAUAUUGCGCAAUGGGCGAAAGCCUGACGCAGCGACGCCGCGUGGGGGAUGAAGCUUUUCGGAGUGUAAACCCCUUUCGACCCGGACGAAAGCCCGCAAGGGCCUGACGGUACGGGUAUAAGAAGCCCCGGCUAACUACGUGCCAGCAGCCGCGGUAAAACGUAGGGGGCCAGCGUUGCUCGGAAUUACUGGGCGUAAAGGGUCUGUAGGCGGUGCGGCAAGUCGGAAGUGAAAUCUGAGGGCUCAACCCUUAGACUGCUCCCGAAACUGCCGUGCUAGAGUGCGAGAGAGGCGGGUGGAAUUGCAGGUGUAGCGGUGAAAUGCGUAGAUAUCUGCAGGAACAUCCGAGGCGAAAGCGGCCCGCUGGAUCGCAACUGACGCUGAGAGACGAAAGCUAGGGGAGCAAACAGGAUUAGAUACCCUGGUAGUCCUAGCCCUAAACGAUCAGGACUUGGCGUGGGCCCUGUACGGGGCUCGUGCCGUAGCUAACGCGAUAAGUCCUGCGCCUGGGGAGUACGGUCGCAAGGCUGAACUCAAGGAAUUGACGGGGGCCCGCACAAGCGGUGGAACAUGUGGUUCAAUUCGACGCAACGCGAAGAACCUUACCUGGGCUUGAAGUGCACCGGACCAUCCUUGG
rnacentral:rRNA from 1 species